UUCUCUCCCAUUCCCUCUGCCCCUCCUCCCACUCUUUCUCUCUCUCUAAAAAAAUAAAUAUAUUUUUUAAAAAUUUCACUAUGGUAUGGUUUGUAGCAGCAAAAUGGAAAAAAGGAACAACCUAAGUGACAUCACUAGAGGACAGCUAACUUGAAAACAAACUGAAAUGAAUGAAAAUAACUAUGAAGUUGGUGACAGAGAUACCCAAUCUUCCAAAAGAAACCAGGGUUCUUUGGAGAAGUGGCUGAUUCCAAGUUUGGGACAGUAUAUAAACAAGACAGUGGUCAGCAAUGUAUGGUGAAACCAUGUGGUGAGAUGUUGAUGGAGAAAUUGAUUAUGAAGAGAGAACCCAUUGAACCCAGCAAUCGAUCUUCACAUCGUUAGGAAUGAGACAACCAGACAUCGUAAGCCUCCCGAUGUGCUGCAAUGUCAGGUGUACGGCACCACCUGUGAAGUCUUCUCGUUCCCUCCUCCAGCCCCCAAACUGAACCGGAAUCUAAGCCAGGCUUUAGAUCGAUAGGCACGAUGUGAUUUGAAGUUUGGGUCCAGUAGCGAAUGACCAGGAAAGAAUUCUUGAGACGUUUUAGUACAAAAAGGUGAUUUUAUUAUAUCACAAGGACAAAGACCCGUAGGCAGAAAGAGCUGCAUCUGUGAGUGUGAGGAGUGUCUGACUAUAUACUUUUAAGUGGGGAGAGAUAACAUUAAGUUUUUAAGGAAUUUCUGUAUGCUGAGAGCAAGGUCUUACAGGACCUUGAAGAUUUAGCUACUGUCAAGGUUGCUUUUAGUCUUUAAUAAAACAUAAACAUGGAGGCAUUCAGGCAGCCAUGAUUCCUUGAGGAAUGUCAGGCUCUGAGAGUGUCAGGUUAUCUAUCAGUGUGCUGAAUGCAAAGUGUAAGGGGAUUUAAUUUAAGUUACAUUUUUCUUGCUUUGUUUUCCUUAUCAUUUUCCCCCCUGAACAGUUUUGACUCUUUAAGGUUGUUGAGGGCAAAAGGUCUUACCUUUUGUAACUUCUUCCUGCUGAAUAGGGGCAUAGAGAUAUCCCUACGUAUGGGUCAACAUUGGUCAGUUGCGGAUGUAAGAGUUAUGAAAGGCAGAGGCAGUUGAAUCCAAGGUAGACAGCGUAUAUGAAUCUCCCUGAGUAAAAAGGAGCAUCUGUCGAUUUGCAGUUACUGUAGUGAGGGAGUCUUGGCACCACAUGAAAAAAUACUGAAGACAAUGUGUUAGAAUUAAAAUGGCUAUAAGAAUGAGAAGUCCAACAAAGAGACCCUUAAUAGUUGACCAUAAUCCCCCUCCAAGCUAGAAACUUAACCAAUUGUUGAAAGAGAGGGAAGGAUUUUUGUAGAGGCUCAAUUUAAAUACUCAUAUCUUCAAAUAGUCCUGUGACAUUUUUAUGAUUAUCUGGGAUGUAGACACAGCAUGCUGUUUUAAUAAUGGCACAUGUACCUCCUUGUGCCGCUGUUAGAACAUCUAAAGCCAUUCCAUUUUGUAGAACCACUUUGAGCAUUUGUGUGACCUCAGUAUUAAGUGAGGAGAUGCUAUUUUGUGAAUCAUUGAGUGCUUUUAUGGUGUAUUUAUUAAGAGCUUCCAUAUGCCAAAUUACACUUUCCAGCCCUACAGAUGGAACAAAAAUGAAAAAUGGAUGCCAGAUGGUCAUACCAAUGAAAAACAGAUCAUGUCCAUCUCUGUCUUAAAUUGGGAAGAUUAGCUGGGGUAGUGUUGGUUUUGGUAAUGCGCCCGUGAAUCCAGGUGAAACCUAAGGUGCAAUGACCUAUCCACCCUAGAGGAAGCCAGGGCCAUAGGUUAGUUCCACAUAACCAGUGGGUUCCAUUUGGGGCUAGCCAACUGAUUCCAGGUCACCUUAUCCAGUCAGCAGCAAACCAGUCAGUAGCCUUGAGUACAGUGGUUUGAGAAGGGGUUUCUAAUGAUAGCCAUCCUAAAUGGCAUGUACUAUUUGCGCAGGUAUCAUCUGUAUGAUUUUUUUGCUCCCAGCAUAAAAUUGCCUUUUGACUGAGCUGUCCAAUGGUGGGUGUGAGCCAUAAGUAUGUAUCCUAAAUUUGAUAUAUACCAUCCUCAGUAUAGUGGAAAGUAGGGUUUUGUAACUUACGCACUCAUUGGUGGGCAUAAGUUUGUGCGCUUGUAAAGUCAGUUAAUAUUUUAAUAGUUUGAGGGUACAAAAAAGUCUGGUUACGUCCUGGUAAAUUCUAUAUCAUAUUGAUCAUCGGCCAAAAAGAAACAUUCUGAUUAGUGAUAGAUUUAUCACAAAACAGGGUAUUAUUAUAUAUUAUUUCUGAAGUAUAAGUAUAUAGAGAGUGCCAAUCUGUGCCUUGUAAAGGAAAAACCCACUAGGUAAACCCAGAUGUACUUGACACGGACAAAACCCCACAUAACCAACAAGCCGUUUGAUUUUGUAGUUCAGUGUAAUGCUGUGCCCAUUGUAGAAAGGAAUUGUCCAUUAAGAUAGGUGAACAGAGGGACACCUGGGUGGCUCAGUCAGUUAAGCAUCUGCCUUCAGCUCAGGUCAUGGUCUCAGGGUCCUGGGAUUGAGCCCCACAUCAGGCUCCCUGCUCAGGGGGAGGCUGC